AUGAACGCUGGCGGCGUGCCUAAUACAUGCAAGUCGAGCGGUAAGGCCCCUUCGGGGGUACACGAGCGGCGGACGGCUGAGUAACACGUAGGAACGUACCCCAAAGUGAGGGAUAAGCACCAGAAAUGGUGUCUAAUACCGCAUGUGAUCUUCGGAUUAAAGCUUCGGCGCUUUGGGAACGGCCUGCGCAUGAUUAGCUUGUUGGUGAGGUAAAAGCUCACCAAGGCGAUGAUCAUUAGCUGGUCUGAGAGGAUGACCAGCCAGACUGGGACUGAGAACGGCCCAGACUCCUACGGGAGGCAGCAGUAGGGAAUCUUCCACAAUGGACGAAAGUCUGAUGGAGCAACGCCGCGUGCAGGAUGAAUGCCUUCGGGUUGUAAACUGCUUUUAUCUGUGACGAUUAUGACGGUAGCAGAUGAAUAAGGAUCGGCUAACUCCGU
rnacentral:rRNA from 1 species